rnacentral:rRNA from 1 species
GACGAACGCUGGCGGCGUGCCUAAUACAUGCAAGUCGAGCGGACGGAUGGGAGCUUGCUCCCAGACCGUCAGCGGCGGACGGGUGAGUAACACGUGGGCAACCUGCCUGUAAGACUGGGAUAACUCCGGGAAACCGGGGCUAAUACCGGAUAACUCUUUCCCUCACAUGAGGGAAAGCUGAAAGAUGGCAUCUCGCUAUCACUUACAGAUGGGCCCGCGGCGCAUUAGCUAGUUGGUGAGGUAACGGCUCACCAAGGCGACGAUGCGUAGCCGACCUGAGAGGGUGAGCGGCCACACGGGGACUGAGACACGGCCGAGACGCCUAAGGGAGGCAGCAGUAGGGAGUCUUCGGCGAUGGACGGAAGUCUAACCGAGCAACGCCGCGGGAGUGAAGAAGGUGUUCAGAACGUAAAGCUCUAUUGUAAGAGAAGAACGAGUGAGAGAGUGGAAAGUUCACACUGGGAGGGGAGCUAACCAGAGGAGGACGGCUAGCUACGUG